CUUGUAUAGCUACAUAUGAAAGUGAUCUACUCUGGCCAUCAGGUGUUGCCUUGUAUAGCUACAUAUGAAAGUGAUCUACUCUGGCCAUCAGGUGUUGCCUUGUAUAGCUACAUAUGAAAGUGAUCUACUCUGGCCAUCAGGUGUUGCCUUGUAUAGCUACAUAUGAAAGUGAUCUACUCUGGCCAUCAGGUGUGGACUUGUAUAGCUACAUAUGAAAGUGAUCUACUCUGGUCAUCAGGUGUUGGCUUGUAUAGCUACAUAUGAAAGUGAUCUACUCUGGCCAUCAGGUAUCUGAUGAGAGAUGUUGUGACUAAAUAUCUGUUCAUCAUUCACAGCCCAAUGAACAAACUCCACUUGUAAUGAAAUCAAACUCAGCCCUGACUCCCCGACAAGUGUGUUAGUGUGUGUGUGUGUGUGU
rnacentral:lncRNA from 1 species